CUCGAGUAAUUUUCGGCUUAAUUGUUAAAAAAAGAAUUUGCACGACUUUCAUCUGUUUCCUUUUUUCCAUUUUCUAUUUCCCUCUCCAUUGUCUUCACACUUACCAUUUCCUUAUGCAUCUGUAGGUCUGCCUUGGGUUUCUGAUUUUGCAGGUUUCCAUAGAAGCUCGAAGAAGAUGAAGGCGCGAGAGGCGCUGUUUGCGGUGGAUUACAUGGAAGAGUUGUAGUGGUCCGGCGACGUGGAGAAACUCGCGAUUAAGUGGUGAAAAUGUUGGGUGAAGUCGCGAUUGGUUUAUAUUGCUUGUUGGUGGAGCAAAUGCAAGUACUGGUGAAGGAACUGAGGAAGCUAAACAAACCCUCUAUAUUCUUGAUGUCUUGAAAGAAUGUCUUCCUUUUUUUGUCACGGAAAUCUAAGACCAGUAUUCUUAAUUACUUCAAAUAUCUCUUGGAUCUGCAUUUACCCCUAGUCACAAGGCACAUUACAGAUGGUUUGAGUUUUCUUUGUCACUAUCCACUGUCAGAAAACACUCCUAAUGGACCAUUGGAGAGGGUGCCUGCUUGGGGUACAUAUGUGCAGCCAGAGGUUGAUGGGAAGCAAGCUUAUGCAAUUCACUUGGAACCACCCCUGAGCAAGCAUAAAGGUGGAAAAAUAGAAGUCCCAAAGUACCAAAAUCCCUGCAAAUAUACGAUGCUCAUGUUGAAAUUAGUGGUUCUAAACCCAAAAUAUCCUCAUUCAAUGAUUUCACAGACAAGGUUCUUCCUUACAUUAAGGAAGCUGGAUACAAUGUCAUCCAGCUGAUUGUAAUUGUUGAACAUAAGGAUUAUUUUACUGUUGGUUACAGAGUUACAAAUUAUUUUGCUAUUAGUAGCAGAUAUGGUACUCUUGAGGAUUUCAAGCGAUUAGUUGAUGAGGUCCAUGCUUUUUACUUAAGGUCUCUUUGUAAAAUAAGGCGAUAAGGAAACCGAUCGCCUUAUUUUACGAGAGGGAUACUAAAGAACAUUCAAUGUGUUUGGCUGGAGGAACUUCAUGCGGAUAUUGUAGACUUGAAGGAAAUGUACAGAGAACAAGUGAACUUGCUUGUUAAUAAGGUAUUUGAAAAAGGAAGCAUAUCAAAUGAUGGAUAAAAUGAAGAAGUAUCAAAUGAUGGAUAAAAUGAAGAAGUACCAAAUGAUAGAUAAAAUGAAGAAGUAUCAAAUGAUGAAAAUAAUGAAGAAGUACUGAACUAUAAUUAUUAUUCAUAACAUGUUAAUUUUAAUUUUUAAGAAACAUUAAUUGUAUUUCUAAU